rnacentral:tRNA from 1 species
GCCUGGGUGGCUCAGUCAGUUAAGCAUCUGACUUCGGUUCAGUUCACGAUCUCACUGUGAGUUCAAGCCCCACGUCAGGCU